GAGAGGAGGGCUAAUCUGGAGCAAAUUCAUGCUGAAUCUCAGAGACUGUUGCGCGAAACUAGAGAUGCUUCAUUUAAACCUGUGCCUCUUGUUUAGAAGCCGAUAUCAUCUGUUUUGGAGAAGAUCAGGCUAAGAAAGUUGGAAGUAUCAAAAAAACCUAGCAUUCUCUAUCAUUCUGAUUCUAUUGGUGAUACUGAUUGUUCUGCGGCUGAGAUGUCUCACGUCUCUGAUCUAU